UAGUCACCUCAUUCGAUGUUUACUCCUCGAUUUUAAAAAUACAUCGGCCAAAGGGGAGACAAAACAAGACUCUUACAUUUCCACAAAACGCAAGCGGUGCUUUUUCACGCAAACCUCACCACAACAAUGCUAGCGUGUUCUGGGUGUCUGCCACUUGGACUUCAUGCAAGCUUGAGCGCAUGCUGAUAGCACCACUAUUUCUGUCCUAACUGAUUUCCAUUGACACUUGAGGAUUAGUCCUACAAAGACUGAGGUAGCAGCAUUCAAAGCCAUACAUCUUUGGAGGCGUACAAGUCACGGAAUUCAGCUGAUGUGCAGAGUUUUGCUGCUUGAUCAUCCAUAAAGUUUCCAUCUAUUUUUCAAAGGAUGUGAUUCGGUCACAGAAUGUUUUGGACCCCAUUUACAUCGGAUUGUAUUACUGUCUGCUUGUGAAGGGAUCACCUGAAACUGCUGUUAACACCAGGAACUUCUGUGUCAGAGUUCAUGCAGAGGUGACGACUCUGAUGCCAAAGUACAAUCGAAGCUGCUCCAGAAAGAUGAAAAAAUCCUCCAGUUUGUCUCUCAGCUGAUGGACAGAUUCUCUCACGGCAUCGAAAGGGUGGAGAGAGCUGAAGGGCACAACGGGGAUGUCUGUAGAUCCAGGAGCUGCCGAGAGAGACUGGAGACUCUAUAGAAAACAGAAAUUAAAACUCAUCACCUCCACACGUCACACAAAAAUCUGCUCUUGUGCAGCCUUGAAUCAGAAAUCACACGCUGUUCAUUUAUUUAGCAAGAGAAAUACUGUGUCCCUGACUGAGCCAAGUUUUUUUCUCCAUUGCUGAGGUCUAAAAGUCACUUCAUAUUCAGUAACAUUAUGAUUAAACUACACUAACAAUAUUGGAUGUAAAUUAAACUUUAAAUAAAUGGAGUUAAAUAAUGGCACAACUGCCUUCUGCAGAGGUGCUUUACAGCUGAAUGAAAUUUGUUUCAAUUUGCAACAUCAACACUGAUAUUAAACCGAGCUGAAUCAACAUUAAAAUGAUUCAAGCUGAAUAACAACACUAUUUUCUUUAGUUAAACUCAUCAGAAACUGAACUGACUGGAGCUGAACAGUGACUUGCAAUAACGGCUUUACAGCUGAAUUUGAAUUAGUGUAAUAUUUAAUGAAGUUUGCAUAUUUGCUCAUUAUUACUGUGAAGCUGCUUUGAAACAAUAAACUAUCUGUAUAAAGCGCUA